rnacentral:rRNA from 1 species
CAGCCGCCGCGGUAAUACCAACCCCGCGAGUGGUCGGGACGUUUAUUGGGCCUAAAGCGUCCGUAGCCGGCCCGGUAAGUCCCUCCUUAAAGCCCACGGCUCAACCGUGGGAGCGGAGGGAUACUGCCGGGCUAGGGGGCGGGAGAGGCCGGGGGUACUCCUGGGGUCGGGGCGAAAUCCUAUAAUCCCAGGAGGACCACCAGUAGCGAAGGCGCCCGGCUAGCACGCGCCCGACGGUGAGGGACGAAAGCUGGGGGAGCAAAGGGGAUUAGAUACCCCCGUAGUCCCAGCUGUAAACGAUGCAGGCUAGGUGUUAGGCGGGCUUCGUGCCCGCCUAGUGCCGUAGGGAAGCCGUUAAGCCUGCCGCCUGGGGAGUACGGCCGCAAGGCUGAAACUUAAAGGAAUUGGCGAG